rnacentral:rRNA from 1 species
GACGAACGCUGGCGGCGUGCUUAACACAUGCAAGUCGAACGGAAAGGCCCUGCUUUUGUGGGGUGCUCGAGUGGCGAACGGGUGAGUAACACGUGAGUAACCUGCCCUUGACUUUGGGAUAACUUCAGGAAACUGGGGCUAAUACCGGAUAGGAGCUCCUGCUGCAUGGUGGGGGUUGGAAAGUUUCGGCGGUUGGGGAUGGACUCGCGGCUUAUCAGCUUGUUGGUGGGGUAGUGGCUUACCAAGGCUUUGACGGGUAGCCGGCCUGAGAGGGUGACCGGCCACAUUGGGACUGAGAUACGGCCCAGACUCCUACGGGAGGCAGCAGGGGGGAAUAUUGCACAAUGGGCGGAAGCCUGAUGCAGCAACGCCGCGUGCGGGAUGACGGCCUUCGGGUGGUAAACCGCUUUCGCCUGUGACGAAGCGUGAGUGACGGUAAUGGGUAAAGAAGCACCGGCUAACUACGUG